rnacentral:rRNA from 1 species
AGUGAACGCUGGCGGUAGGCCUAACACAUGCAAGUCGAACGGCAGCACAGAGGAGCUUGCUCCUUGGGUGGCGAGUGGCGGACGGGUGAGGAAUACAUCGGAAUCUACUCUGUCGUGGGGGAUAACGUAGGGAAACUUACGCUAAUACCGCAUACGACCUACGGGUGAAAGCAGGGGACCUUCGGGCCUUGCGCGAUUGAAUGAGCCGAUGUCGGAUUAGCUAGUUGGCGGGGUAAAGGCCCACCAAGGCGACGAUCCGUAGCUGGUCUGAGAGGAGGAUAAGCCACACGGGAACUGGGACACGGUCCAGACUCCUACGGGAGGCAGCAGUGGGGAAUAUUGGACAAUGGGCGCAAGCCUGAUCCAGUCAGACCGCGUGGGUGAAGAAGGCCUUCGGGUUGUAAAGCCCUUUUGUUGGGAAAGAAAUCCAGCUGGCUAAUACCCGGUUGGGAUGACGGUACCCAAAGAAUAAGCACCGGCUAACUUCGUGCCAGCCGCCGCCGUAA